rnacentral:rRNA from 1 species
GAUGAACGCUGGCGGCGUGCCUAAUACAUGCCAGUCGAGCGAACAGACGAGGAGCUUGCUCCUCUGACGCUAGCGGCGGACGGGUGAGUAACACGUGGAUAACCUACCUAUAAGACUGGGAUAACUUCGGGAAACCGGAGCUAAUACCGGAUAAUAUAUUGAACCGCAUGGUUCAAUAGUGAAAGACGGUUUUGCUGUCACUUAUAGAUGGAUCCGCGCCGCAUUAGCUAGUUGGUAAGGUAACGGCUUACCAAGGCAACGAUGCGUAGCCGACCUGAGAGGGUGAUCGGCCACACUGGAACUGAGACACGGUCCAGACUCCUACGGGAGGCAGCAGUAGGGAAUCUUCCGCAAUGGGCGAAAGCCUGACGGAGCAACGCCGCGUGAGUGAUGAAGGUCUUCGGAUCGUAAAACUCUGUUAUUAGGGAAGAACAAAUGUGUAAGUAACUAUGCACGUCUUGACGGUACCUAAUCAGAAAGCCACGGCUAACUACGUG